CAUUUGAGCCAGUAAAUUGUACAAGUACCAAUUAUUCUCUCCGCUGAACUCCAGUUUAUAUAUAAUAAAAUAAUUUUAUUUGUUUCAUUUGAUUUGGAUUCUUCGUCCCACCAUGGUUUUCAAGAACUUCAAGUUAUUCCUUGUUGCGUUGAUCUUCGCAACAGCGCUGGCUGUGGUAGCAGGGCAGGACGGGCCAACGUUCAACGAACUCUCAAGAUUGCUCCCACCAAAAGAUCUGGAAGACAAAUUUGUCUGCGGCCCUGGAAAGCAUCUGGACGAGAAGGGAGUAUGUCAACCAAAUACGUCAUAAGGGUAACGAGGGAAACAAUGUGAGCUUUGAGGGAGAGCUUUGAUUGUUUUUGUUUAGUUACUACUAACUAAACUUCCUUUAUUGUUCUGCUAUUGUGUUUUGUUUAAAAUUUAAAUACAACCUUUAUGACUUCUC